ACACAGACUGUCCAGAUAAUGAUCGGUCUGAUGACUCUCCUGCUUGGCAUUGUGUCUACAGUUUAUGCAGAAUCCAUCUUAGUCUAUACUGGUAUUCCUUACUGGGGAUCUCUUAUCUACAUUAUCGCAGGCUCACUCUGCAUUUCUGCAGAAAGCAAACCUAAUUCAUCCUCCAGCUUGUGUUUGGUGAACGGUUCACUUGUAAUGAACAUUUUCAGUGCUUUAACUGCAGGCAUUGCCCUUUUUUAUUACUUCACUGGAUUUGGCUGUAGGACCGCUGUACACUUACAGUUACUGCAACAAUUAU